ensembl:lncRNA
CUCUCUACAGGUUAUAUUUUCUUAGUGAUAAUAGUGAUAGCCCUUGCUGUGCUUUGCUGGAUCCUCAUUUCUCUCAGAAGAAAAUCCAGGUGGUAUUCCUUUGACUUCAAGUACCCUGCACUCCUGACGGACCCUCCUGAGACCUUUGAGACCGUCAACAUGGACGGACUGAAUACUGUUGACCUUUCACCUUUGCCAGCAUCCAAUGGGGAGCGUCUCCUGGACCAGGAGGUGCUCCUGCCCUCUAGCGGCUUCCUCCCAUUGGACACUGAGUAGACUGACAGGAAGUGGGACCAAUCAGACAGAGUGUCACUUCAUAUAACAGAGGAAGAGCCGGAGAACAGCACUGCACUGUCCUGUGGUUCUACUGCACCCUAGUACUGUUACCCCGUCUCCUCCCCUCCUCUUCUCCAGGACUCCUUUCUCCUCCUUCUCUCCUCUCAUCCUCCAGUAACCCGUCUCCUCUUCUCCAGGACUCCUUUCUCCUCCUUCUCUCCUCUCCUCCAGUACCCCGCCUCUUCCUCCUCCUUCUCAGGCUCAGACAGAAGAUAGUGGUGGAGAAACGAGACUUAAACAAACUUAAACAAAAAUACUUCAAACUGUCAAAUAUGAAAUAAAGUGUGUCAACGAUUA